rnacentral:rRNA from 1 species
UACGAAGGGGACUAGCGUUGCUCGGAAUUACUGGGCGUAAAGCGCACGUAGGCGGAUUUGUAAGUCAGGGGUGAAAUCCCGGGGCUCAACCUCGGAACUGCCUUUGAUACUGCAAAUCUCGAGUCCGAUAGAGGUGGGUGGAAUUCCUAGUGUAGAGGUGAAAUUCGUAGAUAUUAGGAAGAACACCGGUGGCGAAGGCGGCCCACUGGAUCGGUACUGACGCUGAGGUGCGAAAGCGUGGGGAGCAAACAGG